AGAGUUUGAUCCUGGCUCAGGAUAAACGCUGGCGGCGUGCUUAACACAUGCAAGUCGAACGGAGCUUUUCCUUCGGGGGAAGCUUAGUGGCGGACGGGUGAGUAACGCGUGGGUAACCUGCCCUGUACAGGGGGACAACAGCUGGAAACGGCUGCUAAUACCGCAUAAGCCCUUAACACUGCAUGGUGUAUAGGGAAAAGGAGCAAUCCGGUACAGGAUGGACCCGCGUCUGAUUAGCCAGUUGGCAGGGUAACGGCCUACCAAAGCGACGAUCAGUAGCCGAUCUGAGAGGAUGUACGGCCACAUUGGGACUGAGACACGGCCCAGACUCCUACGGGAGGCAGCAGUGGGGAAUAUUGCACAAUGGGGGAAACCCUGAUGCAGCGACGCCGCGUGAGUGAAGAAGUAUUUCGGUAUGUAAAGCUCUAUCAGCAGGGAAGAAGAUGACGGUACCUGACUAAGAAGCACCGGCUAAAUACGUGCCAGCAGCCGCGGUAAUACGUAUGGUGCAAGCGUUAUCCGGAUUUACUGGGUGUAAAGGGAGCGUAGGUGGCAAGGCAAGCCAGAAGUGAAAACCCGGGGCUCAACCGCGGGAUUGCUUUUGGAACUGUCAUGCUGGAGUGCAGGAGGGGUGAGCGGAAUUCCUAGUGUAGCGGUGAAAUGCGUAGAUAUUAGGAGGAACACCGGAGCGAACGCGGCUCACUGGACUGUAACUGACACUGAGCUCGAAAGCGUGGGAGCAAACAGGAUUAGAUACCCUGGUAGUCCACGCGGUAAACGAUGAUACUAGAUGUCGGGAGCAUAGCUUCUCGGUGUCGUCGCAACGCAGUAGUAUCCACCUGCGAGUACGUCGCAGAUGAAACUCAAAGGAAUUGACGG
rnacentral:rRNA from 1 species